UUAAAUUAAAGCCGAACGCCUACAAGACUGUCAUACGUUCUUCGAAGGUAUGAAGCCCCACCACGAAAGUCUUUAUUUCCCCUGACCCCACGAAAGCUGAGAAACCAAACCGGGAUUAGAUACCCCAUUAUGCUCAGCCGUAAACUUUGAUAGCCUACUACACCCGNUAUCCGCCCGGGUACUACGAGCACCAGCUUAACAACCCAAAGGACUUGGCGGUGCUUAACAUCCACCUAGAGGAGCCUGUUCAGUAACCGAUAAUCCCCGUUGAACCUCACCCUCCCUUGUCUUCCCCGCCUAUAUACCGCCGUCGUCAGCUCACCCUUUGAGGGAACCAUAGUAAGCAAAAUUGCACAGCCCAGUACGUCAGGUCGAGGUGUAGCUAAUGAGAGGGGAUGAGAUGGGCUACAUUUCCUAAACAAGGAAAUACGGACAAUGAUUCUGAAACGAACAUUAGAAGGAGGAUUUAGUAGUAAGUAGAAAAUAGAGCGUUCUACUGAAAUUGGCCAACUUAAGCGCGCACACACCGCCCGUCACUCUCCCCGAGCUCCCUAAAACCCCCACCUGCAAUAGGGGAGGCAAGUCGUAACAUGGUAAGUGUACCGGAAGGUGCACUUGGAAAAAUCAGAGUGUAGCUAAG
rnacentral:rRNA from 1 species